GCCUCGGCCUCCCAAAGUGCUGGGAUUAUAGGUGUGAGCCACCGCACCUGGCCAGAAGUAUACUCUUGAAAGAGUUAUGUAACCUCACCACACAAAGGUUACAUUUUAUUCUACACAUAAUAUAUGUAGAUAUAUGCUAUACAUGUUGCAUGUGGCCACCAAAACAUGGAAUAAUCCAUAGUUAUAACCUGCAUUUUCAGUUAAUAUAGCAAGGAUGGCUUUCCAUCUUAGUAAAGACAGAUUGUGUAAUAUUAAUAAAUACAGAUUUAAAUGAAUGUCUAUACAUCACACUCUCAUUGAGGAACAUGAAGGUGGUCUCUUAUUUAUGCUAGAUUGUGCUAUAAUAUAGCAAACAAGUUAUAGAACUUCUGGGUCAAGAAGUGUUGAAAGAGCUUUUAAAAUAUUUAUUCCUAUGGUUUCAGAUCAGAAAACUGAUUCUCAGAUGAUUUUAGUCCUGAUCUCUAAUGUUCCAGAUUGACUUCGCAGUGGAGUGGAUGGUAAACUAUUAGCCGCUCUUCUGAUUAAUAAACCUUCUCUCCAAAUAGGAUACCUGCAGGUUGCCUGGCACACAGGAUAAGUUCAAUGAGUUUUAUUGAAUGGAUGAAUUACUGAAUAAGAAAAAAAUGAUGGUUAAAGGUAGUUAGAUAACUAACAUUGCUGAGUAAUCACUCCUACGAAGUAGCAUUCUGUAAAACUCUAAUUCUGUAUGUCUCCUAAUACUGUUACAGACAGCUAUGCUUGUCUCUUAUUUGGGGGACUUUUUAUGGCUUCUGGCAUAAAGGAGAGAUGGUGAAAAUGAUGCUCUGUCCCCAUCCAAUUGCUUAUCCAUCCCUUCCAUCAUUUAUUCAUGCCUUCAGUAAUUUGGGUGCAGUUUCUACAUGCUCACCAGGCCAGAGCACCAGGACGGGCCCUCACCCGGGCUGUAACACCAUCAUCACUAGUGUCCAAUCCCUAGUUCUUCAUGCUGGAAAACAUUAUCAUUUCAUUUCUUGUAAAGCAUUCACUAUUCAUUAACACUCAGGAACUUGUGGGUCUUUUGUCUCUAGAAAUUCUCCUGUUUUUAUAUGGGUUUUUUUAAUGGCUGUUUAUCAGUAACUUAAUGAUCAUUUUAACCUAUAGUACUUCUACUUGGGGAAUUUAUUAAAUUUUAUCUCGCUUCUUUAAGAGAGAGCUUACAUUUUAUUCACGUUUGUAAUUUUUAUGCCAUCAACUGUGAGGUCUUAUUCAUUAAAUUGAAUUUGAAAAUACCCACUGAGAAUAAUUUGCCGCUAAAGAAUAUAUUUAAUUACUCACUUAUACUUUCUGGAAUGAAGCAAAGAAAUGUUAAUAAACACUAAUUUAAACUAUAGAAUAAUUACUAAUAUAGUUGCCAUUAUUGUUAUAUGUGAAGAUUUGAAAUUAGCAACCUAAUUUUAAAUAAGAAAAUCAUUAGUACAUAUCAAAAAAUAUUCAAAAAGGAAAGAUAUCUAUAAAUGUCCAGUUUUAUAAUCAAGUUUUUAUGACUCACAAGUUGAUCCAUUUAGAGUUGCUCUAGUAUUCUCAUUUCAGGAAUAGAGAAGUUCCUCCAUCUCUUUUUUUCUGAUAACAAGAACUCUGAUAUCAGUUUCAUAGGACAUCGUGGAAAUCAGGGAACACCAAGCUGAAGUGCCAUGUGGUGAGAUUCAUCAGCCUCAUUAAUGCAAAACAGCCCAUGUGUCAUCUUUGUAUUCUAAAAGCUGCAGGAAGAUGACCUCCCAGUUUUCCCAUAAACAGUCAUGUGGAAAAUAAGUCUUCUUUCUGUGAAGGAGAAAUGCUUCUUUACCCCUCACAGUUCUCUAAGUUAGAAGAACAACACAAGUCUCACUGGGCUAACCUCGAGGUAUCGGCAGGGCUGGCUCCUUCUGGAGGCUUCAGGGAAGCAUCCAUCUCCCCACUUCUCCAGCUUCUUGAGGCCGUCCGCACUCCUGGGCUUGUGGUCCUGCUCCAUCUUCCAAGCCAGCAACAGCAGAUUGAGUUCCUCUCACUUAGCAUCACCCUGAACUUCCUCUACUGUAGACAAGUCUUCCUCUUCCUCCCUCUGCUGUCUCCACCUUUGUGAUUACCUUGGGCCCCCAAGAUCAUCCAGGGUAGCCUCCCAUCUCUAGAUCCCUAAGUGAAUCAAUCACAUCUGCAAAGUCUCCUUUGCCAUGUGAGGUAACCUAGUCAUAGGUUCCAGAGAUUUGGAUGUGAACAUUUUUGUUGGGGCAUCAUUCUGCCCAACCACAAGCAUGUACCCGGCACUCACCACAUGUGGCAGUUAGUUGGUGUGUACUUUCUCUACCUGUAAAUCCCUGGAUGGAGAACAUGAUUUUUUCUCUCUACAUCUCUUUGCAUUUCAUCUGGUUCACUUAACCUGAUCCCCAGUGUCUUAGUCUGUACAGUGUGGCCGUAACAGAAUACCUGAGAUGGGGUAUUUAUUUUAAAAAAAAUAAUAGGUGGGUUUAAGUCACAGUUCUGCAGUCUGGGCAGCUCAAGGCCAUGGCCCUUGGUUCUGGCAAGGCAAGGGCUUUUGUGGUGCUGCGUCAUAACAUGGCAGAGAAGGUCAAAGCGUAAGUGGACACGAGCAAAGAGAAGACCAGAGGGGCCUCCUGGCUUUGUAACAAACCACUCUCAUGGGACUAUUCCAUUCCCUGGAGAACUAAUUCAGUCUUUCCAGAGUGAGACCUCACUACCAUGAGAACAGCACCAGGCCGUUCAUGAGGGAUCUGCAUCAGUGAUUCCAACACCUCCCACUAGGCCCCACCACCCAACACUACCACAUUGGAGACCAAAUUUCAUCAUGGGCUUGGUGGGGAAAAGCCAACCAUACCCACACCAUAGCACCAGCCUGGGACCCAAAUGCACCAAUAAAGGGAAUGAGAAAGCCUAGAACUGAACCAUCCAGCAGUCAGAUACCAAAGAGAUCCAAAAAGUUAAACAAUCAUGAAGAAAAAGCGUUGAGAGGGUGAGACCUCAGGCAAGUUCAAGGCCAACAGCUGGCACCAAUGUGGGAAGAUGAAGCCUUGCAUAAACAUAAGCCCAAUCGUUAUUUCUCGUGUAAGGACUUGACAAUUAGAAAAAGUGCAAAGAUGGUCCAAACCUCCUAGAUGAUGCUUUCUUGCAGGGUGAACUUUGGUAAACACUGGGGGAUGGAGGAGAGAGGAAUCUGCCUUCCAGGCUUGUCAGGUUUGCUCUUAAUCAUCCUGAGAACACAGGGUCUAAUGGAGCAUCUGUUGGUCGUCUGCAUGGCUGUGAUAUUUUACUUUAUCAUUUCCACCUAACACUUUUAUAAGUAUUUUUAUUCUCCAUAAAACAGGCUUUUAAGAGCAUUUACAAAUUAAUCACAUUAAAGACUUAUUAUCUGUUCUCUUAUGAUACACCUAUUUUGAUAUGGUGUGAAGAUAAUUGUUAUAAUCUCUAUUAAUUACAUACUGGCAUUCAUUAAAUAUGAAAAUGUUCAAUUGUUUGAAAGAAAAUGACUGGCCUUUUUGAACAUUAAAGAGUAUUCUGUUUUAUUGCAUUUUUACACUAAAUGAUUAGGCAAAAAGUUUUUACUAGACAUUAGUAUUUUUAUUUAUUAAAUUUCAGUCCCCUUAGAAGAACUCAAGGUAUUAGCCAAUUGAAUUCAAACUUGUACCACUUAAAGAUACAAAUGUAAAUAAUCUGAGAAGGGAAAAACUAAGUAUAGAGGGGGAGAGUAGAGAAAAGGCAGUAACACAUUUAGACUUGAGGCAAGAACAGGUGUUUUUGUCUUAAGACACCAGCAGGGCUAGGCACUCAAUAGAUGCUCUCCAACCAUUCGUGGCCCAGCGGAGUGAAUUGAAGAGUGGGUUGGCAGUGUUGGGCGGGAGAGCAGCAAAGGUUGCUUCCCUGGCAAACCUGAGGAGGAGGAAGAGGAGAAGCAGCUGCCAUGGCCACGUGGGAAGAAGAGUCAGGGACAGGCAGAGGGAGGUGCAGGGAGCCCCUGGGAGACAGGAGCUGCAUCACAGCAGUCGAACACGAAUUCAGCUCUGCCAGGGGCCCAGAACCCUGUCUGCUAGUUUGCCUGAGAUCAAGAAUGUGUGCAGAAAAUUCCAGAAAAUGCAAGCAAAAAAUUAAACAGAAUCAACUUUGUAGCCACCACCCCAAAUAAUUAAACAAUAUUUUAAAAGCAAGUAACAUUUUAUGAUUUUUAAAAGGCAUUAAAUUACAUUUGUUGGAAGGGGGAUUAAUUGCAGCAGAGUACGGCCGCUUGGCAAUGACAAAUGGAAACCCCACGUAGGACUUGAUGCAGAGUAGAUCUAAUAGGGAGCCGCUGAAGUGAUGUGACUUUGGGGAUGCAGGGAAAUCCCCUUUACUUAGAAAAAAAUGACCUUUAUUUAUACACACAUGUGCAAGUGUGAACACACGAUCAUUCACUACACAAUGAUUUUCCAUUAUUUUAAACUAAACAAUGACUUGUUUUUCUGUUGAAGUGAAAAGGCCCCUUGCAUGUCACCUGGAAAAGAAGGAGAGCAUUCAAGGAAGGUUUGGGGAACUUUGUUACGCGUAGGGGAAAAAACAAAAAUUUGUAUCACUACCUCACACCAUCAAUUCCUAAUAGUUUGUGUGGAAGGCAAUAUAUUAAAACUCCAAAACGAUAAGUGAAUACCUUUAUGAUUCUGGGAAUGAAAUAACAUCUUAAGAACUAAAAGCACUACCCAUAAAAGAAAUUAUCGUUAAACUUGACCCUAUUACAAUUAAGAACUUCUGCUCAUUAAAUAAUAGCAUUAAAAAGGUGAAAUUGCAAGACAAAUAUUGGGAAAAGACACUUGCCACACCAAUAACCAACAAGGGAUUUGGACCUAGAAUACAUAAAGGACUCUUAAAAUCAAUUUCUAAAAAAGACAAUCUAAUUUUAAAAAUUUUUAAUUAAAAAAAAUUGGGCAACAAAUACAAGCAAGAAUUUCAUAGAAGAAAAAACUCCAGUGGUCAGUGGAAAUAUGAAAAGAUGCUCAACCUCCUUAAAAACAUAAGUUUAAACUACAGUGAUACAAUUUAAAAGUUGGUGAGGAUAUAGAUAAUGGAAAUCCUUACCCGUUAUUGAUGGCAAAGUAAAUUGCCUCAGCAGCUUUGGAGAACAAUCAGGCACUGUGUAUUCAGUAAAGCAAAACACUUGUGUAGCCCAGGGGCAGCAACUCCACUCUUAGGCGUGUUCAUUAUAGAAACUUGCAUGCAUCUGGGCACCAGGAACUGUGCUCGGGGAAGUCCAGAGCAGCUUUGGAGACAGCCCAGAAGUCAUUAUAGAGAAAAAUGGAAUAUUAUACAGAAGUGAAGAUGGCUGUGCCUACAUACUAUAGAGCAUGGAUGAAUUUUAGAAACAAAAUACUGAAUGAAAAUAAACAUGUAGGCCAGGCGCGGUGGCUCACGCCUGUAAUCCCAGCACUUUGGGAGGCUGAGACGGGUGGAUCACGAGGUCAGGAGAUCCAGACCAUCCUGGCUAACAUGGUGAAACCCCGUCUCUACUAAAAAUACAAAAAAUUAGCCGGGCGUGAUGGUGGGCACCUGUAGUCCCAGCUACUCGGGAGAGGCAGGAGAACAGCGUGAACCCGGGAGGCAGAGAUUGUAAUGAACUGAGAUCGUGCCACUGCACUCCAGCCUGGGUGACAGAGUGAGACUCCGUCUCAAAAAAUAAUAAUAAAAAUUAAAAAUUGAAAAUAAACAUGUAGCAAAAAUGAAAAAAAAAUGUAGCCUUUUUAAUUUAAACCCCAAACCAAGCAAAGCUAAGUAAUGUAUCAUUCUUGAGAUAGACACAUAUAUAUGUGCUAAAACUAUUUUUUUAAAGGAGGUAAUGAUUAACCCAAAAUUUCAGUGAUGGAGGCCCUCUAGGGGGCAGAGGCAGGAGGCAGUGUUGGGAGGAGCAGGCCAGCAGACACCAUGGUGUCGGUAGGUAACCUUCCAAUUCCGGACUUGAUGACUGGCUCACGAGUGAUCCAUUAUGAUGCUUUAUGAUGUACCUCUGUGUGUUAGAUGUAGAUUGUUUUGUAUGUUUUAAAUAUUCCAUAAUUAACAAUUAAAUGUAAAUACCCUGGGGGAGAUCAGCCGCCGAUCUUAUCUGUCCAUUUGGCUUCAGAGUGGUUUUGCUCAGCCGGCAUUUUCCCCCCAAGAGGGUUUGAAGCCACAGGAGAGACGUUCAUAUAUUUAACAGAGUUCACCAUUUGACCAUCUUGCUUAGGAUAACUCAGAGUCUGUCUGUCCUUCCUAGAGAUGGGCCACUACUGACUGCAAAGACGAGAUUCCCUCUGUUUUCACAUGUGUGGAAUCAUCAGGGUUUUUGUUGAGUGCCCUUGUUAGGGCCAGUUCCUUGGAAAAGGGUCCUAUAGGAAAACCUAACCACGACCAAAGCGGAGAAGAAUCAUUCACCUCGCCCCUCAGAGCGCUCAGCCCACUGCACCCCGAUGCUCCCGUGAUCUUUGUCUGUUCUCCCUCAAAGCCACCUCAAAUAAACAUUCUAGAAAAGAAGCAUUCUUGCCACCCAAAUGCAACUUCAAAUCCACUUUCCAUCCAGGUGACUGCCCAUCUCCUCUUCCCAGCUACUCUGCCCCGCCCCUAUCAAUGCCAGCCCCGCAGAGCAAAGCUGAGAUUCGUCCGGGAUGCUGUUCUCAGUAGACAAGCAUGGAGUGCCAGGUAUUAAUACUGGCUUUGAAGAUCGCAGGGAAGCAGGGCCAGAUUCUCCUCGCCCUCACUUUACAAUUCCCUCCUCCUCAGUUUUAAAGUGAAGAGAAAGAGGGACAUGACACAACAAACAUGCAUGUGUAAUUUUGUUGCACGUGUCUGUGCAAUUUCCAGGAAGAGAAAAGCUUCCUGGAAAGCAGGCAGGCGAUUUCAGUCCUGAGGCUGAUGUGGUCUCACUCAGGCAACGGUUUCAGCCUCCCUGGCCUCAGUUGCACCAUCUCUAAAACAGAAUGGCAUUUGCCUUGCCACCCUCCUCUCUGCUCUGUGGCCCUCACUGAGCUUCUCAAGGGUCAAGGACCAGACCUCCUUGAUUUCUGUCAGGGCUGAAUGCAGUGCCCAGGAGGGAUGGAAAGAGAAAAGAGGAACGAAGAGAAGGAGAGAGGAGAGGGUGGGAGGCGGUUCAGUUGCAGCACUGUUGAAGAGCAUAAUACGGAGAAACUUUUGUGAACUUUGGAGAGUGUUCUGCAAAUGUAAGUGAUGAAUGCCAUUAUUAAGGUCAUUUACUGCUAAUGAUCGGCAUAUGCAUAUCAAAAACAGCUCCCAGCUCUGUAAGGCAUUAGAGUGAAAGCAAGCAAUUUUUUAAUGAAACAUUUAUUUGCCUUCUUUUACUGCAGUGCUUUGAUUUAAUCGAAAUAAGCAAAAAUGGCCAAUGAUUAUAUCAACUUCUGAACUUGUUGAAUCUACUUGGAUGUUACUGUAACCCCCUAGGAGAAAAGGGAAGCAGAAAUACUAUGUAUUAAUGUUCUUAAAUUUUCUUACACUUGUAACCCUUUUUUACUUUAGAAAAGUUUAAAUGUGUGUUAUACAUAUGCAUAAUUAAUAAGGAACAGCUGCUUGAUUUAUAUAAUUAACCACAGUCAAUCUAAAAAUAAGUUUAUUUAAAUUAGUGUGAACUUCAUAGCUAAAAAUAUUUGUGAAGAAACAGUUUGGCUAUUUUUUUUCUCAUCAAAUGGGAUGUUUGAAAAUAAUAAAUAAAAGCAGCUCAAUACUAUUGGUUACUUUCUCCUAUUUCUUCUUGAACAUACCAAUCGAAUAAAAUCACUUGAAAACUCUGGCAAUGUUGAAGCUGAUUAAAUUUAUUAUUCAAGUUGAAUUCCAUAAGAAUACGAAACAAUCCGUUUCUGGAAGUAAUUCAGUUACUGGCCAUUUUUUCUCACUGAAAUUUAAGUAUAAGUUUUGAGCUCUAAUACAAGUUCCAAGUUUAAUAUCAAUUAAUUGUGUAUUUUUGCUACCUAUGAGCUUUAUAGGUGUACUUUAAUAACUGGCUUUAAAAGAUAAACCAAAAAAGAUUAAUUGCUUAAGCAAAAUGGUGUGUUUCCAAUUAGUGUCAUCCUUUCUGUUAAUUGGAGACAGGUUAAUAAAACAUGGGUCAGUAACACUACGACUUUUUUCCCCCAACAUCCCCGAAAUAAAAUUUAUUGUUCCACUAGGAAAAUGUAAGCGGUGCAUUAUCUUUUCCUCAAGUGCUUAAGCAUUAUGUCCUGUGAUGGAUGGGUACGACAGGCAGUGGCGGGGUAGGCAAAGGAAGUGGGCAGGCUUGUUUCCAGCUGAUGACCUUUGAAAAGUUCACGACCAGCAAACAUUCAUCCUGCUGCCAAAAUAGCGGAUGAUUUCAAAGUCACGGUGUUAAGCGGGUUGCUAAGGAAGUGUUACGGUGGAGGCUAUUGUGUAGCUGAAGUGGUUGUUAUGGCCACUCUGCAUGUUAGAAAAAUGUCAAUUAUUCUGAAGAGGUUAGCAAUGCUACCUGGCAUCUGCUCCACAAUGGUGAUUAUGAUAUCACCGUUCUUGUUGUAGCAACAAGCCAGUCUCUGAAAUGUUUUCCAGAGGUUUGCAUUUGUUGACUCCAUUGACUAUUUUCUUGAUAAUGUAGCUGGGAUAAACUAGAAAACAAGUUUCCCCAUGGUCAGCUGGAAAUACUCAUAUUGCACUUGGACGGAGCAGAUUGUUUCUGAAGAGGGCCAGUGAUGAGCACCAGUUCCCUCCUUGCCCAGGCCAACAGCGUUUCACAGGACCCCUGGGAUCGUCCUGAUGGUUCUCUUCCAAACAAUGAUCUAGAAAGAUGCCCCGUGUCAAGUUGCUUGCCUUUCGAAGGUCUUCAAAUCAUUGUUCCUCCAUAUCAUAUUCAGAGCUAGUGCUUUCAUGCUGAUGUGGAAACAUCUAAGAGGACUCAUAAUGUCAACAUGCAUUUCCCCAAUAAGUAAACAAGAGAAAUGACA
rnacentral:lncRNA from 1 species